ensembl:lncRNA
UCAGUUCAGAGCAUUUUGAGAGGAGUGAUCAGAAAUAAUAAGUGGGAAAACAAACAAAAUGCAACAGACCUGAGGAGUUCACGUGCAUGUCUUUGGAACGAACAAAUACCUUUUCAAGAAACUAAGGGCAAGAUGUUCUUCCUUGAGCUUCCAAGAGCUUCUUUGCUUUCCCGUUCUGAUUCACAAGGAGGAGAUGAUCUCGACAGAAAAAAUAUGGUCUUCGGUAGAGUAUAUGGUACGUCUCUAAAAGUACAGUACACAGGGAAGCUGUAAGAACAUCUGUGCCUUUGUGUAAAGAGCUAACGUUUUACAACUUGCUACAAGAUAAGUAGGAUUCUGACACUCAGCAUCAAAUAUGUUAGAAACGACAUUGAUGCAUAAAUUGCAUUUUCCAACUUUGGAAGAGAUGCUAAAGGAAGGAAAAUGUUGAAUGAGCAGAAGUUGAUACUGUGUCGGAAAUUUAUGGAUAGUAUGUCUUACCUUUUCAUGAAAAUCUGACAUUCAUAGCAUUUACUACCUUGAAAUAAAACGACGUGAGCAGCAACAGCCAAUUGUAAAAGAAACCCCACUGCUUCCAGAUAAAUUUAAAGAGCUACUCCCACUCUUCAAAGGUUUUCUGACAUGAAAGGCUCCAGCAGAAGAACAUAUGUGGGAUAACAAAGCUCAGUAGAAACCAACUAUCUGAAAAAGAAGGUGACAGCUGGGAAUCCUGCAUCUAAGAAAUGCUGCAAUCAGGAUUCAGCUUUUAUAGGCUCUCGGAAAAGGAGAGAUGCUCUGGUAUCCACCUUGGGCUGAGACUGAGAUUCCCAAAUUCUAACAUGUGUUGAAGCAAAGCUGUGUGUAGAUAAUUCCUGAGUAGCCAAGCAGAUUGUCCUGGCUGAUACUGAAAGCUGUUGGUACAGCAACUUCUACUACUGCUACCUACAGUGACGGCAGUGGGUAGUGAGCAAGAUGGAUUUGGGAACCACCAAGCUGGAUGUGUUUAUUCAACUGCUGACUGAGAUCCUGACCUAUCCAAAUGUUCAGAAACUUGUGAUCACCUCCUUUUUGUUGUUGUUUUUAAUCGUCUUUUUUUUCCUUUGGCCUCUGUAUGAGCUACAUAGCUGCAGUUGCCACAUCUUUAUGACGUGCUCUGUCUCUGUGGCUCUAAACAGAGGCUGUACCAUCUGCCUCCUUCUGGUCUGGCCUGAUACUUUCCUCUCUUUGGAACUGCCCAACUCAAUUUUGAAGAAGGAAAUGCAAAUGACUUGGACAUCAAUUCUGGUCAAAAACUGGUGGUAAACUAAAGCCAUGUGUGAAAAGUUGGCAUUUCUCUUUUCCCCAACUAAUUGUUAAUCAUGUGACAAAUUGGAGAUGGUGUAUCAGAGGGGAUAGGAUUUUAGCUCAGGAGAGUGAAGCUCUGUCUCUAGACAUUUCCCAUAACAGUGAGAUUUUCUGUCAGCUACAGCAGCCAUCACUUCUCUCUCCACAAAUUCAGUAUGCCCACGCAUGCCUUCUAUAGUAGCAACUCUGUCACCUUCUUGUCAUCCUAAGAAUGAGCAGACUUGACUCUAUCAGCAAGCAGCCUUGAUAGCCUAUCUGGAUACACUGUGCAUUUUUUCUGGCUGGAAGGCUAGCAAAUCACUUUUUAUGGGAACUUUGGAGUGGCAAGGAUAGUCUUUUGGGGCAUAUUUUCUUGCCCAAAGAGUAUUGGGUGAACUGCUAGGAACAAAAACUAUAUGCCUUAGCCAAAAGAAGAAAUUGCUCUUCAGAGGAUUGGAUACAUGGGGACAGGAAGAAAGAGAGAGAGAUGUGUUUAUCACAGAGAAAAGCUACCCAAUUGAGGAAAGUCUAGCAUGCUUCACUGUUUACCAUGAGCUCAGGGGACCAGAGAUCUUCUGAAGUGUGUAUCAUCUCCAGAAUUUCACUGGAUGCUUGCGUACU